CGGAAACAUGUCUAGCUUGCUAGAUGAUGUCGAGUGGCGGACGGGUGAGUAAUACUUAGGAACAUGCCUUUGGGUGGGGGAUAACUAUUGGAAACGAUAGCUAAUACCGCAUAAUGUCUACGGACCAAAGGGGGGGAUCUUCGGACCUCUCGCCAUUUGAUUAGCCCAAGUGAGAUUAGCUAGUUGGUGAGGUAAUGGCUCACCAAGGCGACGAUCUCUAGCUGGUUUGAGAGGAUGAUCAGCCACACUGGGACUGAGACACGGCCCAGACUCCUACGGGAGGCAGCAGUGGGGAAUAUUGCACAAUGGGCGCAAGCCUGAUGCAGCCAUGCCGCGUGUGUGAAGAAGGCCUUCGGGUUGUAAAGCACUUUCAGUAAGGAGGAAAGGGAUGUAGUUAAUAGCUGCAUUCUGUGACGUUACUUACAGAAGAAGCACCGGCUAACUUCGUGCCAGCAGCCGCGGUAAUACGAGGGGUGCAAGCGUUAAUCGGAAUUACUGGGCGUAAAGCGUUCGUAGGCGGUUGAUUAAGCAAGAUGUGAAAGCCCAGGGCUCAACCUUGGAACUGCAUUUUGAACUGGUCAACUAGAGUACUGUAGAGGGUGGUGGAAUUUCCAGUG
rnacentral:rRNA from 1 species